CCCUUAGAUGUUCUGGGCUGCACGCGCGCUACACUGAAGCGUUCAACGAGUAUUUCACCUUGCCCGGGAGGGUUGGGUAAUCUUUUUAAAACGCUUCGUGAUGGGGAUAGAUUAUUGCAAUUAUUAAUCUUCAACGAGGAAUGCCUAGUAAGCGCAAGUCAUCAGCUUGCGUUGAUUACGUCCCUGCCCUUUGUACACACCGCCCGUCGCUCCUACCGAUUGAAUGGUCCGGUGAAGCGUUCGGACCGUGGCCUUUGGACGGUUCGCCGUCUGUUGGCUGCGGGAAGUUCGUUAAACCUUAUCAUUUAGAGGAAGGAGAANUCGUANCA
rnacentral:rRNA from 1 species